GAACUGCGAUACGUAAUGCGAAUUGCACAACUCAGUGAAUCAUCGAAUCUUUGAACGCAUAUUGCGCUGUGACAGUCAAUGCCACAGCAUGCCUGGUCGAGUGUCGAUUCCAAACCUCUUUUUUUAUGUUUCACACGUGAAAUAAAAAAAAGAAAGAGAUUUGAUGAGAGUCAGUGUCUUUUAAUUUAAGACAUCGUCUCUUUAAAUCGACGGUUGUUCGGAAAAAACAGGAUUUGUUUUUUUCCCCAUGUGGUAAACACCUCAUGCGGUUAGAAAGAAGCAUACUAUAUUCUAUUUUUUCAUGAUAUAACCAAACAAACACACUGUCUUUUCAAAAAGAGAACUGAAAUAUUUUUCUGUUCUUUUUUUCGGACAGACCUCGGCUCAGGCAAGACUACCCGCUGAAUUUAA
rnacentral:misc_RNA from 1 species